rnacentral:rRNA from 1 species
UACGGAGGAUGCGAGCGUUAUCCGGAUUUAUUGGGUUUAAAGGGUGCGUAGGCGGGCUGUUAAGUCAGCGGUCAAAUGUCGGGGCUCAACCCCGGCCUGCCGUUGAAACUGGUGGCCCCGAGUGGGCGAGAAGUAUGCGGAAUGCGUGGUGUAGCGGUGAAAUGCAUAGAUAUCACGCAGAACUCCGAUUGCGAAGGCAGCAUACCGGCGCCCGACUGACGCUGAGGCACGAAAGCGUGGGUAUCGAACAGG